GCCAACGGCCAUACCAUCUUGAGUACACCGGUUCUCGUCCGAUCACCGAAGUUAAGCAACAUCGGGCGUGGUUAGUACUUGGAUGGGUGACCACCUGGGAACACCACGUGCUGUUGGCU
rnacentral:rRNA from 1 species